UGGCGAACGGGUGAGUAACACGUGGGUAACCUGCCCAUCAGAAGGGGAUAACACUUGGAAACAGGUGCUAAUACCGUAUAACAAUCGAAACCGCAUGGUUUCGUUUUGAAAGGCGCUUUACGGUGCCGCUGAUGGAUGGACCCGCGGUGCAUUAGCUAGUUGGUGAGGUAACGGCUCACCAAGGCCACGAUGCAUAGCCGACCUGAGAGGGUGAUCGGCCACAUUGGGACUGAGACACGGCCCAAACUCCUACGGGAGGCAGCAGUAGGGAAUCUUCGGCAAUGGACGAAAGUCUGACCGAGCAACGCCGCGUGAGUGAAGAAGGUUUUCGGAUCGUAAAACUCUGUUGUUAGAGAAGAACAAGGGUGAGAGUAACUGUUCACCCCUUGACGGUAUCUAACCAGAAAGCCACGGCUAACUACGUGCCAGCAGCCGCGGUAAUACGUAGGUGGCAAGCGUUGUCCGGAUUUAUUGGGCGUAAAGCGAGCGCAGGCGGUUUCUUAAGUCUGAUGUGAAAGCCCCCGGCUCAACCGGGGAGGGUCAUUGGAAACUGGGAGACUUGAGUGCAGAAGAGGAGAGUGGAAUUCCAUGUGUAGCGGUGAAAUGCGUAGAUAUAUGGAGGAACACCAGUGGCGAAGGCGGCUCUCUGGUCUGUAACUGACGCUGAGGCUCGAAAGCGUGGGGAGCAAACAGGA
rnacentral:rRNA from 1 species